UACGGGGGGGGGCAAGCGUUGUUCGGAAUUACUGGGCGUAAAGGGCUCGUAGGUGGCCAACUAAGUCAGACGUGAAAUCCCCAGGCUCAACUUGGGAACUGCGUCUGAUACUGGAUGGCUUGAAUUCGGGAGAGGGAUGCAGAAUUCCAGGUGUAGCGGUGAAAUGCGUAGAUAUCUGGAGGAACACCGGUGGCGAAGGCGGCAUCCUGGACCAACACUGACACUGAGGAGCGAAAGCCAGGGGAGCAAACGGG
rnacentral:rRNA from 1 species